AAAUCCCUGCUGUUCGCGUGAACCACCGUAUAGUUUUUGCCAACACAAAAACUUUGGGAGUUCGGCCUUCAUACACGGCAUGCAAGCCCUAUUUUGAGGGACACACAAUGUGUAUGAGAGAACACCCACCUGCCUUGCAGGUUAAAACUCGCGGCGCCACGGCUCAGUGGGGUUUUU
rnacentral:other from 1 species